rnacentral:tRNA from 1 species
GCCGAGGUAGCUCAGUUGGCAGAUCACAGCCCUGCAAAGGCUGGUGUCGACAGUUCGAUUCUGUCCCUCGGCACCA